rnacentral:rRNA from 1 species
GACGAACGCUGGCGGCGUGCUUAACACAUGCAAGUCGAGCGAGAAACCCUCUUCGGAGGGGGAGUACAGCGGCGAACGGGUGAGUAACACGUGGGCAACCUGCCCCAAGGAGCGGGACAACCCGGGGAAACCCGGGCUAUACCGCAUGAUUCGUGGUGCCUCAAGGCACCUCGGUAAAUGGUAGCUUCGGCCUCCGCCUUGGGAUGGGCCCGCGGCGCAUUAGCUUGUUGGUGAGGUAAGGGCUCACCAAGGCGACGAUGCGUAGCUGGUCUGAGAGGACGAUCAGCCACACUGGGACUGAGACACGGCCCAGACUCCUACGGGAGGCAGCAGUGGGGAAUCUUGCGCAAU